rnacentral:rRNA from 1 species
UAUUCCUGUACUAUGAUAUGACAGAACUGUGGGGACACGUGCAGAGAGCGGAAGCCGGGAAUGGGAUCCCGGUGCAAGCGAGGUACCAGCCGCAUUGGAAAAACCGUGCGGCAAUGGGAAGACGUGAUGCGGAGUGAAGUUUAGUAAUGAAGUCCGUGAGCUGUGCGUCAAGAAAAGCCGCUAUUGUUCAUACCAUACCCGUACCGUAAACCGACACAGGUGGAUGAGGAGAGAAUCCUAAGGCCGGCGGAAGAAGCAUUGUCAAGGAACUCGGCAAAAUGACCCCGUAACUUCGGGAGAAGGGGUGCCUGCGAGAGCAGGCCGCAGAGAAUAGGCUCAAGCAACUGUUUAGCAAAAACACAGGUCUAUGCGAAACCGAAAGGUGAGGUAUAUGGGCUGACGCCUGCCCGGUGCUGGAAGGUUAAGAGGAGAGGUUAGCGCAAGCGAAGCUUUGAAUUUAAGCCCCAGUAAACGGCGGCCGUAACAAUAACGGUCCUAAGGUAGCGAAAUUCCUUGUCGGGUAAGUUCCGACCCGCACGAAAGGCGUAAUGAUUUGAGCGCUGUCUCGACAAUGCAUCCGGUGAAAUUGAAGUACCAGUGAAGAUGCUGGUUACCUGCGCCAGGACGGAAAGACCCCAUGGAGCUUUACUCCAGUUUGGUACUGGGAUCCGGUACUGCAUGUACAGGAUAGGUGGGAGGCUAUGAAUCGGUAACGCCAGUUGCCGAGGAGCCGCUGUUGGGAUACCACCCUUGCAGUAUUGGGUUUCUAACCAGCCGCCGUGACCCGGCGGUGGGACAAUGCCAGACGGGGAGUUUGACUGGGGCGGUCGCCUCCGAAAGGGUAUCGGAGGCGCCCAAAGGUUCCCUCAGGAUGGACGGAAACCAUCCAAAGAGUGCAAAGGCAGAAGGGAGCUUGACUGCGACACCGACGGGUGGGGCAGGUACGAAAGUAGGGCUUAGUGAUCCGGUGGUAUUAAGUGGGAAUGCCAUCGCUCAACGGAUAAAAGCUACCCUGGGAUAACAGGCUUAUCACUCCCAAGAGUUCACAUCGACGGAGUGGUUUGGCACCUCGAUGUCGGCUCAUCGCAUCCUGGGGCUGUAGUAGGUCCCAAGGGUUGGGCUGUUCGCCCAUUAAAGCGGUACGCGAGCUGGGUUCAGAACGUCGUGAGACAGUUCGGUCCCUAUCCGGCGUGGGCGUAGGAUAUCUGAGAGGAGCUGUCCUUAGUACGAGAGGACCGGGAUGGACGGGCCGCUGGUGCACCGGUUAGACUGCCAAGUCUAUAGCCGGGUAGCCCAGCCCGGAAGGGAUAAACGCUGAAGGCAUCUAAGCGUGAAGCCCCCCUCAAGAUGAGAUAUCCCAUCCGAAAGGAGUAAACCCCCUUGAAGACGACGAGGUCGAUAGGGCAGAGGUGGAAGUGUGGUAACACAUGGAGCUGACUGCUACUAAUAGGGUGAGGGCUUGAUC